UACAUGCAAGUCGAGCGGACAGAUGGGAGCUUGCUCCCUGAUGUUAGCGGCGGACGGGUGAGUAACACGUGGGUAACCUGCCUGUAAGACUGGGAUAACUCCGGGAAACCGGGGCUAAUACCGGAUGGUUGUCUGAACCGCAUGGUUCAGACAUAAAAGGUGGCUUCGGCUACCACUUACAGAUGGACCCGCGGCGCAUUAGCUAGUUGGUGAGGUAACGGCUCACCAAGGCGACGAUGCGUAGCCGACCUGAGAGGGUGAUCGGCCACACUGGGACUGAGACACGGCCCAGACUCCUACGGGAGGCAGCAGUAGGGAAUCUUCCGCAAUGGACGAAAGUCUGACGGAGCAACGCCGCGUGAGUGAUGAAGGUUUUCGGAUCGUAAAGCUCUGUUGUUAGGGAAGAACAAGUGCCGUUCAAAUAGGGCGGCACCUUGACGGUACCUAACCAGAAAGCCACGGCUAACUACGUGCCAGCAGCCGCGGUAAUACGUAGGUGGCAAGCGUUGUCCGGAAUUAUUGGGCGUAAAGGGCUCGCAGGCGGUUUCUUAAGUCUGAUGUGAAAGCCCCCGGCUCAACCGGGGAGGGUCAUUGGAAACUGGGGAACUUGAGUGCAGAAGAGGAGAGUGGAAUUCCACGUGUAGCGGUGAAAUGCGUAGAGAUGUGGAGGAACACCAGUGGCGAAGGCGACUCUCUGGUCUGUAACUGACGCUGAGGAGCGAAAGCGUGGGGAGCGAACAGGAUUAGAUACCCUGGUAGUCCACGCCGUAAACGAUGAGUGCUAAGUGUUAGGGGGUUUCCGCCCCUUAGUGCUGCAGCUAACGCAUUAAGCACUCCGCC
rnacentral:rRNA from 1 species